rnacentral:rRNA from 1 species
GACGAACGCUGGCGGCGUGCCUAAUACAUGCAAGUUGAGCGCUGAAGGUUGGUACUUGUACCGACUGGAUGAGCAGCGAACGGGUGAGUAACGCGUGGGGAAUCUGCCUUUGAGCGGGGGACAACAUUUGGAAACGAAUGCUAAUACCGCAUAAAAACUUUAAACACAAGUUUUAAGUUUGAAAGAUGCAAUUGCAUCACUCAAAGAUGAUCCCGCGUUGUAUUAGCUAGUUGGUGAGGUAAAGGCUCACCAAGGCGAUGAUACAUAGCCGACCUGAGAGGGUGAUCGGCCGCAUUGGGACUGAGACACGGCCCAAACUCAUACGGGAGGCAGCAGUAGGGAAGCUUCGGCAAUGGACGAAAGUCUGACCGAGCAACGCCGCGUGAGUGAAGAAGGUUUUCGGAUCGUAAAACUCUGUUGGUAGAGAAGAACGUUGGUGAGAGUGGAAAGCUCAUCAAGUGACGGUAACUACCCAGAAAGGGACGGCUAACUACGUG